AUGGAGUCUGCGCGGAGUGCUUUCCACACUCAGCUGGCCGCCGUCAUGGACUCGCUGCUGGCCGCAGCUGUUUGCGAGAUCGCCAAGAUCUUCGAGAGCAGCCUCUGUCAACACCAGGCGGAGCUGACGCUGAAGGCGGAGGAGAUCUCAGCCCUCCGCUGCAAGCUGGAGAAAGUCGAGAGGAGGCAGAAGAUGGAGAGGGAGGUUGCAUCGGGCGAAAGGGAAGGAAACUGCAGACAUCAGACUCCCACAGCAUCAUCAUCAGACCCAGUUGAAAGACACGGCGAAAACCUCAACAAGUUGAAAAAAGAGGAGCUUGACCCGGAUGGAGUUGCCCUGAAACGUGAGGUCCGAUCACGUCCUGCUCCUAAUCACUGAAUGUUAAAAGAGAUUCCACAAAUGUUACUUUUACACCACUGCUGGUCCCUUUUUUCUUCUUUCCCAGUGUGUUGAAUCCCAGUAUAAGCUGGGAUCAGUGGCUGUCCAAGCUCCAGAAGAGGAACAUACUUUGACUGAUGUCCUUCCUGCCUCACAGCCUAGGAGCAAACGUUAGAAAACUUCUUUAGUUAACAUUUUUUCUCACAGUUGUUCCACACGUGUUACACACUUUGCAGACGUGUAACAGUAUGUGUGUAAACACACAUUUUUAAUAUAUUUUUAAUGCAAACAUUACAAAUCUUCCACUAUUGUUUUUGUCUAAAACCUUAGUUUU
rnacentral:lncRNA from 1 species